UACGAAGGGUGCAAGCGUUAAUCGGAAUUACUGGGCGUAAAGCGCGCGUAGAUGGUUCAGUAAGUUAGGAGUGAAAGCCCCGGGCUUAACCUGGGAAUUGCUUCUAAAACUGCUGAGCUAGAGUACGGUAGAGGGUGGUGGAAUUUCCUGUGUAGCAGUGAAAUGCGUAGAUAUAGGAAGGAACAUCAGUGGCGAAGGCGACCACCUGGACUAAUACUGACACUGAAGUGCGAAAGCGUGGGGAACAAACAAG
rnacentral:rRNA from 1 species